rnacentral:rRNA from 1 species
UAUUGGCCAAUGGGCGAAAGCCUGAUCCAGCAAUGCCGCGUGAGUGAUGAAGGCCUUGGGGUUGUAAAGCUCUCUUACCCGGGAUGAUAAUGACAGUACCGGGAGAAUAAGCUCCGGCUAACUCCGUGCCAGCAGCCGCGGUAAUACGGAGGGAGCUAGCGUUGUUCGGAAUUACUGGGCGUAAAGCGCGCGUAGGCGGUUUUUUAAGUCAGAGGUGAAAGCCCAGUGCUCAACACUGGAACUGCCUUUGAAACUGGAAAACUUGAAUCUUGGAGAGGUCAGUGGAAUUCCGAGUGUAGAGGUGAAAUUCGUAGAUAUUCGGAAGAACACCAGUGGCGAAGGCGACCGACUCGACAAGUAUUGACGCUGAGGUCGAA